UACAGAGGUCCCGAGCGUUGUUCGGAUUCACUGGGCGUAAAGGGUGCGCAGGUGGGUUGGCAAGUUUGAUGUGAAAGCCCCGGGCUUAACCCGGGAAUGGCAUUGAAUACUGCUGAUCUGGAGGAUCGGAGGGGGGACUGGAAUUCUUGGUGUAGCAGUGAAAUGCGUAGAUAUCAAGAGGAACACCAGUGGCGAAGGCGAGUCCCUGGACGAUACCUGACACUGAGGCACGAAAGCAUGGGGAGCAAAAGGG
rnacentral:rRNA from 1 species